AUUGAACGCUGGCGGCAUGCCUUACACAUGCAAGUCGAACGGUAACAGGUCUUCGGAUGCUGACGAGUGGCGAACGGGUGAGUAAUACAUCGGAACGUGCCCGAGAGUGGGGGAUAACGAAGCGAAAGCUUUGCUAAUACCGCAUACGAUCUCAGGAUGAAAGCAGGGGACCGCAAGGCCUUGCGCUCACGGAGCGGCCGAUGGCAGAUUAGGUAGUUGGUGGGAUAAAAGCUUACCAAGCCGACGAUCUGUAGCUGGUCUGAGAGGACGACCAGCCACACUGGGACUGAGACACGGCCCAGACUCCUACGGGAGGCAGCAGUGGGGAAUUUUGGACAAUGGACGCAAGUCUGAUCCAGCAAUACCGCGUGCAGGACGAAGGCCUUCGGGUUGUAAACUGCUUUGUACGGACGAAAGCCUACUUCUAAUACAGGGGGUCAUGACGGUACCGUAAGAAUAAGCACCGGCUAACUACGUCGCCAGCAGCCGCGGU
rnacentral:rRNA from 1 species